GAUGAAGAACGUAGUGAAAUGCGAUAAGUAAUGUGAAUUGCAGAAUUCAGUGAAUCAUCGAAUCUUUGAACGCACCUUGCGCUCCUUGGUAUUCCUUGGAGCAUGCCUGUUUGAGUAUCAUGAGCAAAUCUCAAAGUCGAUCCUUUUGUUAAUUCAAUUGGUUUGCUUUGGACUUGGAGGCCUUGCAGAUUUCACCGUCUGCUCCUCUUAAAUGCAUUAGCUGGAUCUCAGUAUUAUGCUUGGUUCCACUCGGCGUGAUAAGUAUCACUCGCUGAGGACACUGUAAAAGGUGGCCAGGAAAAUACUGAUCGAACCGCUUCUAACGGUCUAUUAACUUAGACAAUUACCCUUAAGUUUGAUCUCAAAUCAGGUAGGACUACCCGCUGAACUUAAGCAUAUCAAUAAGCGGAGGA
rnacentral:misc_RNA from 1 species